rnacentral:rRNA from 1 species
UACGGAUGGUGCAAGCGUUGUUCGGAAUUACUGGGCGUAAAGGGCGCGUAGGCGGCUUGGUAAGUCCGCUGUGAAAGCCCCGAGCUCAACGGGGGAAGUGCCUUCGAUACUGCCAGGCUUGAGUCGGGGCGAGGAAGGCGGAAUGCCCCAUGUAGGGGUGAAAUGCUUAGAUAUGGGGUAGAACACCGGUUGCGAAGGCGGCCCGCCGGAGCCGAACUGACGCUGAGGCGCGAAAGCGUGGGGAGCAAACAGG